rnacentral:piRNA from 1 species
UGAAGUUUCCAUCUGAACCCCAAGAC